rnacentral:rRNA from 1 species
AGAGUUUGAUCCUGGCUCAGAACGAACGCUGGCGGCGUGCUUAACACGUGCAAGUCGAACGUGAUUGAGGGCUUGCUCUCAUGAAAGUGGCGCACGGGUGAGUAACGCGUGGAUAAUCUGCCCUUCAGUUGGGAAUAACUCAUCGAAAGGUGGGCUAAUACCGGAUAAUGCUGUGAGACUUUGGUCGAUCAGCCAAAGAGAGCCUCUGCUUGCACGCCCUCGCUGAAGGAUGAGUCCGCGUACCAUUAGCUUGUUGGUAGGGUAAUGGCCUACCAAGGCGACGAUGGUUAGCUGGUCUGAGAGGAUGAUCAGCCACACUGGAACUGAGACACGGUCCAGACUCCUACGGGAGGCAGCAGUGAGGAAUCUUGCGCAAUGGGGGCAACCCUGACGCAGCAACGCCGCGUGAGUGAGGAAGGUCUUCGGAUCGUAAAGCUCUGUCAGUUGGGAAGAAACGCUUGGAAGCCAAUACCUUUCAUGCUUGACGGUACCAACAGAGGAAGCACCGGCUAACUCCGUGCCAGCAGCCGCGGUAAUACGGGGGGUGCAAGCGUUGUUCGGAAUUAUUGGGCGUAAAGAGCGUGUAGGCGGCCGGAUGUGUCAAAUGUGAAAGCCCUGAGCUCAACUCAGGAAGUGCAUUUGAAACUGUCCGGCUCGAGUAGGGGAGAGGGAAGUGGAAUUCCUGGUGUAGAGGUGAAAUUCGUAGAUAUCAGGAGGAACACCGGUGGCGAAGGCGACUUCCUGGCCCUAUACUGACGCUGAGACGCGAGAGCGUGGGUAGCAAACAGGAUUAGAUACCCUGGUAGUCC